rnacentral:rRNA from 1 species
UUUGAGAGAAAUAAAAAAAACUACAAGUUCCGUAGGUGACCUGCGGAAGGAUCAUUA